UGGGGAAUCUUGGGCAAUGGGCGCAAGCCUGACCCAGCAACGCCGCGUGGGUGAUGAAGGCCUUCGGGUCGUAAAGCCCUGUCAGAGGGAACGAACAAAUCCGAAACUAACACUUUCGGAUCUUGACGGUACCCUCAGAGGAAGCACCGGCUAACUCCGUGCCAGCAGCCGCGGUAAGACGGAGGGUGCUAGCGUUGUUCGGAAUUACUGGGCGUAAAGCGCGUGUAGGCGGUUCGGUCAGUCAAGCGUGAAAGCCCUCGGCUCAACCGAGGAAGUGCGUUUGAUACUGCUGGACUGGAGUUCGGAAGAGGGGGGUGGAAUUCCAGGUGUAGCGGUGAAAUGCGUAGAUAUCUGGAGGAACACCGGUGGCGAAGGCGGCCCCCUGGUCCGAGACUGACGCUGAGACGCGAAAGCGUGGGUAGCAAACAGGAUUAGAUACCCCCGUAGUCC
rnacentral:rRNA from 1 species